rnacentral:rRNA from 1 species
UACAUGGGGUGCAAACGUUGCUCGGAAUUACUGGGCGGAAAGGGCGCGUAGGCGGCGCAACAAGUCACUUGUGAAAUCUCCGGGCUUAACCCGGAGCGGCCAAGUGAUACUGUCGUGCUAGAGUGCGGAAGGGGCUACUGGAAUUCUCGGUGUAGCGGUGAAAUGCGUAGAUAUCGAGAGGAACACCUGCGGCGAAGGCGGGUAGCUGGGCCGACACUGACGCUGAGGCGCGAAAGCCAGGGGAGCGAACGGG